ACUGUCAGUACCAUGCACCAGUUUCACAACUGACAACACACAGUUGGUACAAUAACAAAAAUAAACAUUAUUUGUAGUUUACAAAUAAUAUUUUAAGAUACAAUGGUGUGUGAAAAAUGUGAGAAGAAACUAGGUCGUGUAAUUACUCCGGAUCCUUGGAAAACCGGCGCUAGAAACACUGUUGAAUCUGGUGGUAGAAAAGUUGGGGAAAAUAAAGCAUUAACUGCGAAAAAAGGAAGAUAUAAUCCAUACACUUCUAAGUUUCAUGAAUGCAAGAUAUGUCGAACUAAAGUACACCAAGUUGGAUCACAUUAUUGCCAAGCAUGCGCCUACAAAAAAGGAAUUUGUGCUAUGUGUGGAAAGAAAAUAUUAGAAACAGCCAACUAUAGGCAAAGUUCAACAUAGUGUUUAUAACUCAUAGUGCUUAAUUCUGACUUAAAACUUUCUUAACUAGACAUAAUUUUGUUACAUUUUGUAAGUACUAAUAAUACACCGGUUAUCAACUAAAUAUAGGUUAGUCAUUUUGCUGUUUAUCAGAAUUAGCACAAAUGGCUCCUUUGUAAAACUUAAAACAUAACUAAAAAGAAUGUAAAUUGUUAAACUAAGUGAAAUAAUGUUUAAUUUAAAAAAUUAUUAUUUUGCAGUCAUAAAAAGAGUAUAUAAUUUUGAUUGAGAAUUGGCAAUAGCCGUUAGUUAAGCUGUUUCUGACUAUAAGUAACAAAUGUUUUUAAACAAUUUAAAAACAUAUUUUGUUUUUAUAGUUUUGGUUUUUAAGUUUUCUUUCAUAGAAGCACUAAAGUGGAAUAGUUUAAAUGAAAAAUAUGGAUCAUUACUCAGCUCUCUUGUUGAUAAGAAUGAAGAACGAAUGGAAACACUCAAUAAAUUAAUUCACUUGGACAAUAUAAAUUAUGGUGAUCUCCUACGGAAUAUACUGCGUGAACAACCAGAAAAUGUAGCUGUGGUCAUUUUAAAUGAAAAAGACACUGCACAAGAUGAAUCUCUUUCAGAAAUAACAUCAAAAGAGAACUUCAUUGAGCCUAAAAAUCCUUUAAGAUACAGAGACAGUUCAGAUUCAGACUCCUUCUUCAUAAAAGAACCAACUAUUUAUGGUCCAAACGAUAAAAUACCUAUGGAAAAUGCAAGAAUUAGAUGCCGCUAUGCCUGCCGUAACGCAUAUAGAAGCGUGUGCAGGAGAUUUAGAACUGAAUGCACAUCGGAAAUGCGAAAAUAUUUCAGAAAAGAAUGUCGUAAAGCCUGUCGUAGAAGGUUUUAAAAUCAAAAUAUACUGAGUCUUUUGAUA